UAAAAAAGCCUUAGAGAAUAUCUACACUAGUAAUGUCCAUUUUCAUUAUGGAAAUGCACUUACAAGUGUAGAUACUCCCUAAGGCUUCAAAU
rnacentral:pre_miRNA from 1 species